rnacentral:rRNA from 1 species
UACAGCCGGAAACGGCUGCUAAUACCGAAUACGAUCUUUUCGUCGCAUGACGGAAAAGAAGAAAAAGGGUGGCCUCUAUACAAAGCUAUCGCCGAAGGAGGGGUUUUGCGUCUGAUUAGCUGGUUGGAGGGGUAACGGCCAACAAGGCGAUGAUCAGUAGCCGGUCUGAGAGGAUGAACGGCCACAUUGGGACUGAGACACGGCCCAGACUCCUACGGGAGGCAGCAGUGGGGAAUCUUCCGCAAUGGACGAAAGUCUGACGGAGCAACGCCGCGUGAGUGAAGAAGGUCUUCGGAUUGUAAAGCUCUGUUAUACGGGACGAAAAAGACGGAUGCCAACAGUAUCCGUCCGUGACGGUACCGUAAGAGAAAGCCACGGCUAACUACGUGCCAGCAGCCGCGGUAAAU